GGCAUGGCGGGUGCUAUACAUGCAAGUCGAGCGGACAGAAGGGAGCUUGCUCCCGGAUGUUAGCGGCGGACGGGUGAGUAACACGUGGGUAACCUGCCUGUAAGACUGGGAUAACUCCGGGAAACCGGAGCUAAUACCGGAUAGUUCCUUGAACCGCAUGGUUCAAGGAUGAAAGACGGUUUCGGCUGUCACUUACAGAUGGACCCGCGGCGCAUUAGCUAGUUGGUGAGGUAACGGCUCACCAAGGCGACGAUGCGUAGCCGACCUGAGAGGGUGAUCGGCCACACUGGGACUGAGACACGGCCCAGACUCCUACGGGAGGCAGCAGUAGGGAAUCUUCCGCAAUGGACGAAAGUCUGACGGAGCAACGCCGCGUGAGUGAUGAAGGUUUUCGGAUCGUAAAGCUCUGUUGUUAGGGAAGAACAAGUGCAAGAGUAACUGCUUGCACCUUGACGGUACCUAACCAGAAAGCCACGGCUAACUACGUGCCAGCAGCCGCGGUAAUACGUAGGUGGCAAGCGUUGUCCGGAAUUAUUGGGCGUAAAGGGCUCGCAGGCGGUUUCUUAAGUCUGAUGUGAAAGCCCCCGGCUCAACCGGGGAGGGUCAUUGGAAACUGGGAAACUUGAGUGCAGAAGAGGAGAGUGGAAUUCCACGUGUAGCGGUGAAAUGCGUAGAGAUGUGGAGGAACACCAGUGGCGAAGGCGACUCUCUGGUCUGUAACUGACGCUGAGGAGCGAAAGCGUGGGGAGCGAACAGGAUUAGAUACCCUGGUAGUCCACGCCGUAAACGAUGAGUGCUAAGUGUUAGGGGUUUCCGCCCCUUAGUGCUGCAGCUAACGCAUUAAGCACUCCGCCUGGGGAGUACGGUCGCAAGACUGAACUCAAAGGAAUUGACGGGGGCCCGCACAAGCGGUGGAGCAUGUGGUUUAAUUCGAAGCAACGCGAAGACCUUACCAGGUCUUGACAUCCUCUGACACCCUAGAGAUAGGGCUUUCCCUUUCGGGACAGAGUGACAGGUGGUGCAUGAUGUCGUCAGCUCGUGUCGUGAGAAUGUUGGAUAGUCCCGCACGAGCGCACCUGAAUCUAGUGCAGCAUCAGUGGCACUCUAAGUGACUGCCGUGACCAUGAGAAGUGGGAUGACGUCAAUCAUCAUGCCUUAGACUGGCUAUCCUGCUACAUUGACGAACAGCUGCGAAC
rnacentral:rRNA from 1 species